AUUGAACGCUGGCGGCAGGCCUAACACAUGCAAGUCGAACGAGUGGCGGACGGGUGAGUAAUGUCUGGGAACCUGCCUGCUGGAGGGGGCUAACUACUGGAAACGGUAGCUACUACCGCAUACCAUCAGAUGUGCCCAGAUGGGAUUAGCUAGUAGGUUGGGUAACGGCUCACCUAGGCGACGAUCCCUAGCUGGUCUGAGAGGAUGACCAGCCACACUGGAACUGAGACACGGUCCAGACUCCGACGGGAGGCAGCAGUGGGGAAUAUUGCACAAUGGGCGAAAGCCUGAUGCAGCCAUGCCGCGUGGAUGAAGAAGGCCUUCGGGUUGUAAAGUACUUUAAGCGGGGAGGCGUUACCCGCAGAAGAAGCACCGGCUAACUCCGUGCCAGCAGCCGCGGUAAUUC
rnacentral:rRNA from 1 species